rnacentral:rRNA from 1 species
ACGGGGGAGACAGUCAUGAGACGUGAGUAUAAGACCUGAGUGUAAAGACCUUAGGGUGAAGCAAUUGGAGGGCAAGCUUUGGUGCCAGCAGCCGCGGUAACUCCAACUCCAAGAGUGUCUAUGGUGGAUGCUGCAGUUAAAGGGUCCGUAGUCGUGAAUGCAAUUAAAUGUCGUUGUUCAAUAGCGAUGAGUUUGCUAAUGUUUGCGGAACGGAUAGGGAGUGUAGUAUAGACUGGCGAAGAAUGAAAUCUCAAGACCCAGUUUGGACUAACGGAGGCGAAGGCGACACUCUUAGACGUAUCUUAGGAUCAAGGACGAAGGCAGGAGUAUCGAAAGUGAUUAGACACCGCUGUAGUUCCUGCAGUAAACUAUGCCGACAGCCUGUGUGUGAGAAUACGUGGGCGGGAGAAAUCUUAGUGUUCGGGCUCUGGGGAUAGUACGCUCGCAAGGGUGAAACUUAAAGCGAAAUUGACGGAAGGACACUACCAGGAGUGGAUUGUGCUGCUUAAUUUAACUCAACGCGGGAAAACUUACCAGGGUCAAGUCAUUCGUUGAUCGAAUACGUGAGAAUG